UAAUACUCAAAUUGCUCAGGGUAUAUGCAUAAUGCACGGGACUAACGCAACGCGACGAUUACUCCGUUGUAGACUAAAUCUCACCAGUUGGUGACGGCCCCCUUCCCUCUUCACGCAUUUUCAUCGGCAAAGAUUUACAGUGCCCAACUCCAAGGACUCUGAAUAGAGUCCCGUAUCGACUUGGAAAAAAUGGAUAUCAAAGUAAGGUGGAGGGGUCUCCUUGUGGCACUGCUUUACGGACAACUGGAGUGCCACUGCGGAGUUCGUGAACGCACCCUGAGAAAGGGCGGUGGAUGUCGAACAGAAGGAGGCCACAUGCUCGAGAACAAGGAGGAGUUAAGCGCGGAACACCCCUGCGAACGCUACAAGUGCCGUGACGGAGAACUUACGAUAGAAAGAUGUCGUCUGGCUUCCGAUAGAAUGUGCCGUCAGGUGUUUAAAGGAGUGGGAGCGUACCCUCGCUGCUGCGGCCGUGCAGUGAUUUGCACUUGAAACGCCAAACAAAACUUCCGGAAUAAAGCAAGAACCACGGAAUUCAAGUGAAACCAAAACGUUUGCCGCUUUUUUUUUUCUUCUUCUUUUGAGAGGCCUUCCGUUGGUUGAGCAAAGUACCGACGCACCGUCAUGACUCAGGGUUUAAUAAAUAUAAUUUCCCGUUCCUCA